GAGAAAAAGCGAGCAAGCGAGAGAGCGAGAGCAAGAGCGAGAGAGAGAGAGAGAGAGAAAGAGAGCAAGAGCGAGAGAGUGAGAGAGAGAGAGAGAGAGAGAGAGAGAAGGGCCAGUUCGUCGUUAAUCGGAGAUUUCGAGAAGAGUUGGGUCCAUACCAAUCUACAAUUUCGUGUCGGCUUGCACCUCAUAGAAAGAAUCGUGUCUCGUUCCUUUCGAGGACAUAAGAAAGAAAGAGAUAGAAAGAGAAAGAGGGUCCUGUCAUUAGUGGCGCUAGCACAGCUUCUUCGAGUUUCUUUUUUUUCUCUAUUCAUUUUUUUUUCUUCUUCUUUUUAAAAUAUUCGCGCGGGAUCAUUAGCAGGAUUUAGGCUACGAAAGGAAGGAAGGAAGGAAGGAAGGAAGGAAGGAACGAACGAAGGAAGGAUUAGAUUCCUAGCACAACACAAAGAAGCCGCUCCUUCAAUUCGUCCUUAUUGCUCGACUCUAUAAACUUCUACGCACUAAAGCACUAUGGACUAGCUACGAAACACAAUGAAGAUUAACGAUAUUCCAAUUAGGCGAGCCGUUAUUAUUACAUCGACUUGCUUUCCCUAUGGUGAUCAGCCGGGAGCAUCUGUUAGGACGACGAGCCUAGACAUCGUCGUUAUAUUUCUCGUCUAACGAUCUGUCGAUCGUUCGAAGAAACGAACUGGGAAUGUAUAAUGAGCCAAAAGGAAAGAAACGAAAUGAAACGAAACGAAACGAAACGAAAUGAAACGAAAAGAAAAGAAAAGAAAAGAAAAGAAAAUAAAAGAAAAGAAUGACAAUCUUGAGAUCGUGUUUCUAACAUAAAUCAAAGACGUUUGCUCCGAUUAUUAUUUAAAUUAUAACAACGACUCGUCCCUAAUCUUUCAAACCCUUUAAAAAACCACGAAAAAUGCUUUAAAACGUGUAGUGAUGUUUAAGUGCAAGAUGAUUGGUAAUACGUCAUUGAAAUGAUAUUUCUCGCGAUAAGAAUGUUGCAAUGAUUUUGAAAAGAUGCGAUAUCUGUUGAACUUGAAUUCUUCGAACUUUUACCCGCAGAAACGAGAGCUUGUAUUAAAUGAUAUCGAUAGGGUCUAUAAAUAUUGACACGUUACGUUCUAUUUACUUUAUAACUAUUUUAUAAGUAGAAAAGAAGAAAUAACGAAUCAAUAAGAUUGCUCGAUAGUGACAAGUAACAUCGAGGUGCAAUAUCGAUGUUACUUCAACUUCUACUAAAUAUAUUAUCGAAUUUUUAGAAUAAUACUUGGUAUAAAAUGUUUGUUCUGAAAGACGAUAAAUUCUGGUAAACUGCUUUAAAGGUGAAGAAGUCCCAAAGCACCAAACGUUGAAAGCAAUUUUUAAGGGGUAUCCAGCUUUUCCUCGAUCCUUCUCGAUUUGGCGGUCUCAUGAAAAUGCGAAGCGGAUGUUUGCCAAAUAAGAAUGCAAAUCGAUAAAAUGUCGUACGGGAGAACGAAGAGGAAAAGUUUUGAGAAUCAUGAUACUAGGAGAAAAGUAAACGUUACGUAAAGGUGGAAGUCAUAAAUGACGAAUUUCUUAAUCGAAUGGAAGACAAAAGAACGAAGUCGAACGAAAACGUGGACCCUUCAAUAGAUUUCGAUAAGUAGGAUUAUAUUUUAUGCGUAUCACGCAGUCGCAUAAUGAAAGACGGGUGGAAAAGUUAGCCUUUCGAAUACGAAAAAGUUCGUGCGAAUACUGCAUCGCCCUAUCCGCCAUCUUCUUCCGCGUAGGGUGACUCAACGAUUAAAGAUUUCCUGCCUCGACUUCUCCUCUCUGAUACAUCAUUAAAAGAAGCUUCAUCGAGGGGGUUAUCUCCUAUAGCAUAACUUCAAGAAACGAUUCGCUUACCUACGAUCAUUUCCGCGAACUCACGAUCAUCGGUAUUCUUUAACCUUCGAUUAUGAUUUAUUAGUCAAAAUUUCUCUUUUUACGCGACAUUAAUGGUACAUCGAUUUUUACAAAGCCUUUCUAAUAUAACCAUCUGUAAUAAUAACAAUAAUAAACGUUAACAAUUCUAUAAAUAA